rnacentral:rRNA from 1 species
AACGAACGCUGGCGGCAGGCCUAACACAUGCAAGUCGAGCGAGGACUUCGGUCCUAGCGGCGGACGGGUGAGUAACGCGUGGGAACGUGCCCUUUGCUACGGAAUAGCCCCGGGAAACUGGGAGUAAUACCGUAUGUGCCCGAGAGGGGAGAGAUUUAUCGGCAAAGGAUCGGCCCGCGUUGGAUUAGGUAGUUGGUGGGGUAAUGGCCUACCAAGCCGACGAUCCAUAGCUGGUUUGAGAGGAUGAUCAGCCACACUGGGACUGAGACACGGCCCAGACUCCUACGGGAGGCAGCAGUGGGGAAUCUUAGACAAUGGGGGAAACCCUGAUCUAGCCAUGCCGCGUGAGCGAUGAAGGCCUUAGGGUUGUAAAGCUCUUUCAGUGGGGAAGAUAAUGACGGUACCCACAGAAGAAGCCCCGGCUAACUCCGUGCCAGCAGCCGCUGUAAUAC